ensembl:lncRNA LOC120099033 uncharacterized LOC120099033
CAGGGAAGGAGCAGGCCAGCUCAAACUACGUUCAUAAAGAAGUUCUCCAGUUUUUAAACAACGGAACAGAACAGCUUGAAAUUUUUUUCUAUUUUUCCCCACUUCUAACAACAUCAAUUCCAGCCGAAGAAGCAGAAACAUCAAGAAGGAAAAGUUCUUCUGAAAAAUAGACACAACACAUUUCCUUUACAACACAUGCUUCAGCCUGUGAAGAUGGUUCCAGCUCAGAAGUGGCAAUCACAUUCAUCAAGAGAUAUCCUAGUAACAGGCAGGACCUCCUGAUCCGGAGAUCCCGAGUUUACCAGGAGACCAGUGAACUCUCAAAGAAAGGACAUCAGGACCUGCACCUCAGCUCAGCUCAUCAUGGGUAUGCAUGUGUGCUCUUGGAACAAAAGUUUUAGGUUCCAUUUGGAGUUUCUCAGUGGAAUCCAUUCCACCAGAAAGUCCUCAUCCUCCAUCAAGAAUGCAUGUCCUCCUGGAUUUAAUGUUGUCUUAAAUGAGGCUUUUCAUUUUCGCCUCCAUAGGACAGGAUGACCAAGCGGUAGGCAGUGAGUAGGAUGUAAAGUGAUUAAGUAUAAAAAACCCAAAAAGUAAUAAAUAAAAAAUAAAAUAAAGGAAUCCUAAGGUAUUUAAAAAGAAAAUAUAUACCAUAAAGUAAUGUUUAUUCAGCAGAGCAAGAGGAGACUUAACACUUAUGUAAUAUGGUUCAUUACAUCAGGUAAAUAAACAAUUCUAUGAGCUCUCUACAGGGGAAUAUGAAACAUUUAAUAAAACUCAGAAAGUUAUAAAAAAAAGUAUUUGACAUAUAAAAGAAAUAAGUAGGUUGUUAUAUUAGACAAUGUAAAGCCAAGGUUUCAGCCUAACUUCCGCAGCAGAAGCUGCCUCGUUUCCACCUAAGUAAGGUCG